UACGUAGGGGGCUAGCGUUGUCCGGAAUCAUUGGGCGUAAAGCGCACGUAGGCGGACUGUUAAGUCGGGGGUGAAAUCCUGGGGCUCAACCUCAGAAUUGCCUCCGAUACUGGCAGUCUCGAGUGCGGGAGAGGUGAGCGGAAUUCCCAGUGUAGAGGUGAAAUUCGUAGAUAUUGGGAAGAACACCAGUGGCGAAGGCGGCUCACUGGCCCGUAACUGACGCUGAGGUGCGAAAGCGUGGGGAGCAAACAGG
rnacentral:rRNA from 1 species